rnacentral:rRNA from 1 species
GAAACAUCUUAGUACCCGGAGGAAGAGAAAGAAAAUUCGAUUCCCUUAGUAGCGGCGAGCGAAACGGGAAGAGCCCAAACCAACAAGCUUGCUUGUUGGGGUUGUAGGACACUCUAUACGGAGUUACAAAGGACGACAUUAGACGAAUCAUCUGGAAAGAUGAAUCAAAGAAGGUAAUAAUCCUGUAGUCGAAAAUGUUGUCUCUCUUGAGUGGAUCCUGAGUACGACGGAGCACGUGAAAUUCCGUCGGAAUCUGGGAGGACCAUCUCCUAAGGCUAAAUACUCUCUAGUGACCGAUAGUGAACCAGUACCGUGAGGGAAAGGUGAAAAGCACCCCGGAAGGGGAGUGAAAUAGAACCUGAAACCGUGUGCUUACAAGUAGUCAGAGCCCGUUAAUGGGUGAUGGCGUGCCUUUUGUAGAAUGAACCGGCGAGUUACGAUUUGAUGCAAGGUUAAGCAGUAAAUGUGGAGCCGUAGCGAAAGCGAGUCUGAAUAGGGCGUUUAGUAUUUGGUCGUAGACCCGAAACCAGGUGAUCUACCCUUGGUCAGGUUGAAGUUCAGGUAACACUGAAU